CGUUGAUAACUGCAAUACUGAAUAGUUGCCCAAACAGCUAGAACAAUAGGGAACCAACUGGAGAGAGAGAAAGCCCAUCUCUCGAUCCCCCAGCAAACCAAAACCAGAGGUAUAAAAAAGGGUAAAAGAGGCUUCUCCACGUAGAGAUGAUUAAAAAAUUCCACAACCUCUUCAAUAUUGAAACUAGCUCUCCCCAUUCUUCUUCUUACC
rnacentral:misc_RNA from 1 species